rnacentral:rRNA from 1 species
UAAGUAAGUGGUGGAAAUUAAACCAAAUGGGAUAUCUUUAGUAAUUGCGAAUGAACAAGGAUAUGCUUAGCUUGACAAAUGGAGCUAUUGGCUUUGAAUUGUAUUUGUGGAAUGUAUUACCAACAGAGGUGCAGGUGCCAGCCUAUUAAAUAAAGCGUCAAUGAGGGUGAGAAUCCUGUUUGUCAUGUGCAGCCCUUUGUGCACGGUGUAUAUUUGCUGAGUCACACUCCUUGGCAUUGGAAUGCAAAGUGGGUGGUAAGUUUCAUGUACAGGUAAACAUGCAAUUGAGACUGAUAGCACACAAGUACCAUGAGGGAAAUAUGAAAAGGACUUUGAAAAGAGAAUUAAAUGAGUUUGUAUUUGCUGAGCACAAAGUAAACAGACUUGAUUUGCUUGGUGGGAGUGUUGCACUUGCUUGACAAGAGCUUUGGGCUGUGGGUGUAAUGAUUCUUUCUUUGCAUGCCAGUUUCUAUGUGUACAUCUGAUUACCUUUGCACAUGAAUGAUAAGUCUCCUGUGGGGGGUGGAUUGCAUGUGCAUGUAAUGAUUUGUGUUUUGAUAAAUGUGUCUGGUGUAUGUGUGUGUGUUCCUGUGCUUGGGGAUGCUUCCUUCCUUGGACUUACAAGCCCUGACACACACAUGCUGGCAAAAUGCUUCUGCUUGACCCG